AUUGAACGCUGGCGGCAUGCCUUACACAUGCAAGACGAACGGCAGCACGGGGCAACCUGGUGGCGAGUGGCGAACGGGUGAGUAAUGCAUCGGAACGUGCCAUUGAGUGGGGGAUAACGUAGCGAAAGUUGCGUUAAUACCGCAUAUUCUGUGAGCAGGAAAGCAGGGGACCGCAAGGCCUUGCGCUCUUUGAGCGGCCGAUGUCAGAUUAGCUAGUUGGUGAGGUAACGGCUUACCAAGGCGACGAUCUGUAGCGGGUCUGAGAGGAUGAUCCGCCACACUGGAACUGAGACACGGUCCAGACUCCUACGGGAGGCAGCAGUGGGGAAUUUUGGACAAUGGGCGCAAGCCUGAUCCAGCCAUGCCGCGUGAGUGAAGAAGGCC
rnacentral:rRNA from 1 species